GAUGAACGCUGGCGGCGUGCUUAACACAUGCAAGUCGAACGAUGAAGCCCAGCUUGCUGGGUGGAUUAGUGGCGAACGGGUGAGUAACACGUGAGUAACCUGCCCUUGACUCUGGGAUAAGCCUGGGAAACUGGGUCUAAUACUGGAUAUGACUUCUCAUCGCAUGGUGGGGGGUGGAAAGAUUUAUUGGUCUUGGAUGGACUCGCGGCCUAUCAGCUUGUUGGUGAGGUAAUGGCUCACCAAGGCGACGACGGGUAGCCGGCCUGAGAGGGUGACCGGCCACACUGGGACUGAGACACGGCCCAGACUCCUACGGGAGGCAGCAGUGGGGAAUAUUGCACAAUGGGCGCAAGCCUGAUGCAGCGACGCCGCGUGAGGGAUGACGGCCUUCGGGCUGUAAACCUCUUUCAGUAGGGAAGAAGCGAGAGUGACGGUACCUGCAGAAGAAGCGCCGGCUAACUACGUG
rnacentral:rRNA from 1 species